GUCUAAAAUUGUUUGUGGAACAUAUGUAGAUUCGAGGCUGCUGGUUCUUCGUGGUGUGAAUGGAUCAGCACUCUUCUUGACGAGGUCUUGUAUAAACAAAAAUUGUACAUAAUAAGUCAAAAAUUAUGUUUAAGAAAGCAUUAUGUAUACAGUUUUCCAGCACAACUAACAGUUAAAUCAUUCUGUCCAUCUUUUACGGGUUGUGUGAAAAGCAAAACCAAAAGUAUUUGUAAUUUCGGUUAAUUUGGACUUAUCCCGCUUUUUGAAGCGCCAAAGUAUGCUAAAUCUACUGCAGCGGGUUGUAGCUUUGUAUAUUCAGGGGUUCAACUGGAGUCUCAACCCCACACCAAAAAUAAAUAAAAAAUAAAUUUUAAAUCUGUGCUAUGGGUUCAUAUGUAUCUAAUUUUUUGAUUAGUGGAGUGCAACAUUCUAGUUAGUUCGGCUUGUUCUGUAAUCGCUUAGUUAUAACUUAUUCCUAGAAGGGCUUGAUAUGCACAGGCGGUAGAAUGUGUUUUUAACAGUCCUUUUUAUGCAGGUUUGCUGUUCCUGUAUGAUAUGUACUCUUGUUGCAGUAUCCUUGUGUCAACGAGGAGUUUAUGUGAUUACCCAACGAAAUAUAUAUAUAUAUAUAUAUAUAUAUAUAUAUAUAUAUAUAUAUAUAUAUCAGCCAGGCGUACCACAACAAGAAAGAAUGUUUGCACGCUAGCGAUCAAUAUCUUGUGCAGUAACCAAUGUCAACAUGAAAUUAUCUCGAUGUUCUAAAAGGCAUGGCCACAUUCCAUGUCCACAGAACAUAGCACCUGUCAGCAAUGUUUAAAAUAAAAUUUAGAAAAAAUAAGGCCGCAAAAGAUGCCCAUAUGAUGAAAGCUAAACAUAUUAACAACCAUAAUGUAACCACUCAAAACAAACUAUAGAUGGUCUUCUCUGGGCCCUCGCGUACUAUUAUUCAUAAAGCUAAAAAUGCUUCAAAAAACCAGGACCUAUUACUUGGUGAUAAUAUUACGGUUCUUACUUCUUACGAUAAACCAUCAGAAGGGGAAAAAUUAGCGCCAAAUGAACACCAAUGAAUUGGAUUGAGUCUAGAAAUACAAACAGCCUUUCUCUGCUAGCUUGCUUCUCUCAUCUUCGGUGCAAGCACUUGCAAGUCCCAAAAAGGGAUACCAUAAGAACAGCCUAAAAAUCUUCAAAUCCUCUUGAAACAAGAGUAUUAGUUCCUUUGCUCAAUUGUUAAAGCAAGCUGGAAAAAACACAAAGCACAAAGCCACUUUGAAAUUCAGGAAGCAAGUAUACACCGAGAAUGCCGGAAGAUUUGAUCUGCACAUCAAACUGACAUGCCAUGAGAACAAAGCAGGAAAAGAAAGAAACAAAUGAAAUUCACUGCUAGACCUUUUACACAGUAAAUC
rnacentral:lncRNA from 1 species